GUUGAACGUCAAACAGAAAUGUUUGUUAUAAGAUAAAUUGUGGUUUAAUUGAAUGUUAAUCAGAAAAGUUUUAUUUGAUGAAUAUUACGUGAAAUACUGAGCGGUUAUACAAAUUGUGUAGCAGUUAGAUACAUUUAUAUGUAUCAUUAUCAUCAGCAAUCAGCAAUAACACCAUUCAGGAUAAAUGGGUGAUUUUGAGAGAUAUGUCCAUUCAAAUGUGCACGAGUUAUCAGAAUCAACAACAUCAUUGUCAUACAGAUAGCUCCGGCGCGAUCUCAUGGUGGAAUGGCAGCAACGACUGUCGCAACCGAGGGUUGGGCUCGCUGUCAUUGCAGCGGUAAGUCCCCUCUUUGAGGAGUGGCUAGUGAGGCGCCACGGCGUCCUCACCUACCGCCUAACGCAGGUGCUUACCGGACAUGGGAGUUUCGGUGCAAGUCCCGUCGCAGCAGCAGCAGCAGAGACGUCAGCAGCCUUACCCAGGUGGUCACCGGACAUGGAAGUUUCUGGAAGUACCUGUUCCUAACUAUGCAGGAGGAAACAACCGGUUGUCGUCACUGCGAGGACUACCUGAAGCACGUAGUGGAGCAUACGGUGGUUGUAUACCCUGUAUGAUGAGCACCGCCGUUGUCCUCCCUCGUGGAUGUGAUUGGUGUCUUGGUGCGGAGCGAAUAGAACUGGGAUUCUACCGCCUCUUUCUGCAUAGCAGUCAUGCUAGCCAAAGAAGAGGCGAGGCGUGUGGGGAAAUAGUUGUUCCAAUACUUCACCUAUUAUACAGAUAGAUGAAGUAGAAGAAAAUAUUUGAUGUAUGAUGUCGAUUUAUUUAGGUUCCAGGUCCAAGAAAAGCUCGGUUCCUAAGAUACAGCCAAUAAGUUAAUAAUAAAUUUUCUUCAUAAUCGACGACUAACGCCAUCUAUUGAUGAAUAGAAGAACCAUUAGCAAACCUAACGCCAUCUACAUUUUUAUCAAUUUUCAAAAAUCGCUACGGAGCGAAGCUCGGUCAACCAGGUACUUUCUGUAUAUUAUAGCUAGGUGUGUGACGGGCUAUACCCCUUACCGAUUUCAUUUGGUAAAUUCCCGCAGGGCUUGAGGUGAGCAAACGAACGGCAUGACGGUGUCUGCCGGCCCAAUGUUCAGCUUUUCUGGGUUUCAGUCGAUGAUUGAUACGAUGACAUAUUAAUGAUAUUUUAAAAAACGUAAUUUUAGUCUUUUUAUGCGGAAUGCCUAAUAACAAUGAGUUUUUAGGUACGAUAAUGGACAUGCUAGGCGAUGGUAAUAUAUGCCAACAUUCACAAACGAAACAACUUUGUAUCAUUUUGAUUAUAAAAUAACUAUAGGUCACGUCGUUUAUAACUCCAUUAUAUAAGAAAUAUUUCAAAGAUUACUCUUCUUUUACGUUCUGGAAUUGAAUUCUAAAUUACAUGCGAAACAAUAAAUAAUCAACAGUACAACACAUCGUAUACAGAAGUCCUAAUUGUUGCCCGACUAAACGACUUACCGUGGCCAUACUAGGUCACGGCGUGUGGAAGUCCCGGCGGCCACUUGUAAUGCACGGCGUGCGGGUUUGAAACUUAGCAAGUAAGUACUAAUGUGAAUUUUGGGAAUUUUAAAAUUUGUUUCGGGUCUGGGUGUCAUGUGUAUGUGAACUGGGGGUCUACUCUAAUUCAACGAAAAACGAAGUUUCGUACGAAACUUAGCAUAUUUCGUCCUACAAUUCCAUUUAUUGCAAACUUUUGUCAACAAAAAUGAACGAAUGAAAUGAAGAUAAAUAAAUAGGUUUUGAUUUGAAAUUAAAAAUAAAACGUUAUGUUAAGUAAUUUUAUUAGUAAAUCAAUAAAACCCACGGCCGAAGUUUACACGAAACUUCGGAUUCGAGAACCGGAGUAGGCCCUCUGUAUGUUUUUAAACACACCCACGACCCGCGUGAAAAUCCUAGUGUCUACGGGCAACGCUGUAAUAAUAAAAUGCUUUCUUCGUGUGAGGCCUUUGCUCAGCUGGCUGUUGAUGGGCUGUGAAACGACUAACCUAGGUUUUAUUUAUUUUUGCAUUGUCACUAUAUUUCCAUAUUGCAUUUUAUAAGACUCAUAAAAUUAUGCCAUUCAACGGUAGCACACUUGUGAAAGUAGUGCAGUCAGAAUAGGAACAAAGUUUAUCCAUAAGCAUAAACAAAUACAGAUAAAACUCAUCAUCAUCCUCCAUAGGACUUCCACCACUAAACAUGGAGUUAACACUUACCACGACAGUAUUUCAAUUAGGUAUGGAAUUUGUAAAUGGAAAAUUAUUAAAGAGAGAUCGUUUAAAAAUGUAUCAUAAACAAACAAUAUCAAGAAUAUAAAUUAUAAAUAUGAUGAUUGAUGUAAGUUUUUGCUAACCAAUACAUAUAUCUGACAACAUGGAGCGCGAUGUUUACAAACAAAGAUUCAGCGACAGUUCAUCUAAAUGUGAACACAGCGUCACUCGAACAUUCUAAUUUUACCCAGCCUCACUAUUUUUGUGCUCAGAAACGAAUUCGAUGAUACUGGGUCACGUCCGCCGGAGAGCAUAGUCGUUCACUUGUUGAUAUAUAUAGCUGUACAUUUUUCAAAAGUAAAAGUUGUUUGCAAGCCUUGUUUUCGAGUUCUAAAAACCUGAAGAUGUUUUCAAAGUGCUGUUUUAUGCAAUUAAUUAUUUCAGGUUGAACAGAAUUUCUAAUAUGUAUCACAAUCAAAAAGUUUUUGUAUAAAAAGUAUAAACUAUUAAUCAAAUGUAAAGUUUCCAACUUUUCAUUGUAGUCUAUUUCUAAGAACCGGUAGCAAUAUAUUAUAUCACGGUCCUAUCAAUAACCACUGCUCAAUAAAAACUUGCAAAGUUUUACAAAAUUGAAAAACCUAUCGAACAGAACAGCAAACUGCACGUGAUGCACCGAUAGUACUAGAUAGAAUGAAUACACAUGAUAUGACACUUGCCCACCACUAAAGUUUCCGCCUACAAAUCACACCCACAAACUAGAUUUAAAUUAAAUUGUACCAGCGCGCUAAUAUAUUACUAGUUAGAGUGUAAAUUACUGAUGUACAGGAUGCCGAAAAGUUAGCACACGACUUUUAAAGAGUUUACUAUCUGUAACGAAAGUUAAUACUAGUUAAAAAGUAGCGUAAGUGUGAAAGCGAGGCGGGGGCCAGCUCGCGUCUGCGCACUGCAGCCGCCGCGCACUGAGUGAGACAGACGUAUUUCCGCGAGGUGGGACGUCCGCACCUGCCAUUACUCAAACCCCAGUCAUUUCAAUAAUACAUUCGAAGGUCACACGUAAAUGCGUCCUGGUUUAAGCGACAAGAUAUAACCUAUAUCAUGUGUGGGGUCGCCGUUUGAAUGACAAGGAGCCAGCCUUCACUCAACUUGAUCACGUAAGAUAAUUUUAACUUGCUAACUAUCAUGUCAACAAUGAGAAGAAACUACAUUGUCGUUUACAUUAAUAACUGAUAUUAGAAUAGUGUAUAACAUAUUGGAAAUAAAAAUAUUCAUGCUUAUGUUGUUUUAAAUUGCUUCAAAAGAGUUAGUUUUAUGAAAAAAACUGUAAUCAAAUAGAAACUGUUUUAAUUUUACAAUUGACAAUUCGCAGUUGACCUUCUGUUUUAGAGUUGCGCGGCGGCGCAGUAAGGCUGCGCGUACGUUCCUCCGGCGAGCGCGAAGGCCGCGCGGCCGCUCCCGCGCCUGUCGGCUUCCUCGCGCGUUCUGCCCAAAAGCGCCCGCUCAAUUUUCGUUAUGACGUCGAUUUCGAACGUCAUCAUAUAAAUAAAGGGUGUCAUAUGUCCGCGAGGGGUUGGAUCUAGGCACCGCAGUCCACGCCCCUUUCUAUCGAUUAUUGCGCGCUUGUUCCGCGCUGCGCAUUGUUCUGUAGCCACCAGGCCGUCCGCACGUCGACCUAGUCAUGCGCGUGUCCUCUUCUCUACCGCAUCGACCGAAAAGAGACGAGUUGGAUUAAACGCGCGAGUGUCGCGGCCGCGCUCGGCAGGCUCGCGAUACACUCGCUCAUUGACGCCUAGCGGCGCGCCGCCCGGACUCGCUCGCACCCCAUGUGUAUCCCACCCACUGUCCCAUUGACCCCGAUAGGCCGGCUGGAGAUGUUCUGCAGUUAAUCGCGACUUUGCUGCCCGCGCACACCGGCUGCACGCCGUGCAUUCUGCAUACUGCCUACGACCAGGUACGUGCCUUCAUUUAUGUAGGACUCGGCUGGGGCAGCGUGCAGGCAUUCUUUUGCAGUAAUUUCCCAGAGAGCAGAUAAUUAAUUAUUAGAAAUAGAGUAAGUAUAUUACAUCUUCAACUUUCAAAGUCCACAGGGACCAGAGGCAAUGACAAAAUAUAACAUACAAAAUUGAAUCAAAUAAUAUAAAAAACAACAUCUGAAAGUUACGGCACUCGUGAGGUAGAUAGAAGUCCUCUGAAGUCCCUUUCAUUAUCCUGACAUACUUCACCAUAUCUCAAUGACUUAGAAUUAAGGCUCUGCGAAGCGUUUUUGCGAUUUAAGCUCAGCAUGUUUGUAGCGAAGCGAAUGGUAAUGCAUGUUUUGUGACCGCAAUAUCACCGGAGACAUAACAUGAAUCAUAAAUGCACAAUAGGAACAAGUCUUCGGGGGAACGUUCCCAAAAAGCAAUAUAACGCACCUCACAGCACCGCAAUAGUAGUAAAAUGCUAGCGAUAAUAAAACACUGUGAGGUGCAACCAUCCGUCUAAUCCGUCCGACUAAUAAAGAAAUCGAACAGAAUAACUGACACAAUUAAUAUGAACCUCGCGCGUUGAAGUCUUUUGUUAGAGAAAUUAAACGGCCGCGCAAAUAACAGAGAAUAGUUAAAGUUGAAAUGUUCCGAAACAGGACAUGUAGAGAGUUAAUCGGGUGUCAGGAAGAGUAUAAACAAAUACGACACAUUCACUGUACCUCUAAAAUCGCUGGCGACUAACGACUAACAUUCCAAGACAAAACAUCAAUAAUAGUUGGCUAGAAACGCACCGAGUUUAUAAUACAAAACAGUUUUUAACUUAAUAGGGCACAAACGCUUGGAAGUAAUCUUAAGAUUGAACACUGUCACUCAAACAUAUAGAUGCUACAAAACAGAUUACAGCGUAGUUAAGUGAGAACCAACAGUCAGAAGGCUGAAAUUAUGGUUAGCCUAGUCAUGUAUAGAACGAGAAUCUUAAAAAUUAUUGUUAACUAACGAGUAAUUCAUGAUAAACACGAUGUUUACCAAAGUAAUCAUACAAACAUCAUUAAUUCACAAGAAUCCACAUCUUUGCAUCGCUAUUAACAUAUUACGUAACAAAAAAAGUAGAUAAAUAGCUUAACAACGGAGAAAUCGCGAUUUUCUGCGUACGAAAACAGCGCGAGUUACGGACAUAGAAUUCGUCUAUAAAAGUUACAAAAACAAAGUUUAACAUCAAAUAAUGAUUGCAAUAGGUAGUUUACUACACAUUUUCACGGAUUACAUAAAAAUAUUUCGUAAAAGUAAAAUAUAAUAAUUUUUACUAUAUUUUUUAUGAAAAUACAUGAAAAAAAAACCCCAAAAUGCAAAUACUUAGUCUCAUAUAAAAAAACAAUAUUCCCGCGCUACUUCUUAAUAACAACGUCAGUUUUACGUAAUAAACAGUUACUCUUAUGUAUAAAAAACAUAAAUAAUCUAUAAAAACAAUGAAUGUACUAAACAAUAAUAUUAUUUAAAGUAAUCUAAACUAAACACGACAUCAAACCUUUUAAGAUUUAGAUAUCAAAUACACUUCACAAUCUGAAAUAACAAAAACAUUCUGUAAUAAAUUAUUCAUUGGCAAAAGUUCCACCUUAUUUGUAAACUACAGUAGAAAAAUCAUAGUAAUAAAACUUAUACUUAUCAAUACAGAGACGAGGACGAUCAAUAUUACAAGCACCCCCCUAGAACCAAAUUAAACUAGUACAAAAACCUCCAUGGUUUACUACAUUUCACUGUUACGAGAGAGAAAUCGUAAUAUUAAUAAUAAAAUGGAAACUCAAUAUUUUUGUUUACAUACAAUACCGAGCUUCACAUUGGCCACUACGACAUUUAUAAAUUGUUUACAAACACAGUAUUUCUCGUGAAAGAGCCUUUAAUAUUUUCCGACAGCUGAUGUAUGUCGCGAUUCCACCCAUUCAUUCAUUAAUAAACAAACAAACGAUAUUUGAAUGAAUGGCGGCAAAUUGAAAAUACAUUCGGUUCAUUACAAACGAGUAUGUGCAGAUAGGUGCACUUUAUUAUCGUGUUGUUUGUAAACUUGCUAACUACGACUAAUAUUCGAGUCCGUUUCGAUAAAAGCCUUUUGAAAGGUUUCAGGCCAGCUGUGAUUACUACGGGCCGUCCCACGACGCUUUUGACGUCACUCACCUUUUAAAAAUACCGAAUUCACUUUCAUAGCGUGCACUUUUUAUCGGUGCCACGACCCUGAAAUCUGUGAAAAUAAAAAAUGUCGCAAACAUUUUUUGCCAAUUUUGACGAGCGCAAAAUAUGAGUUUCAUUCCUGUACAUUUUUUUUGGUUUCGAUUCCGUUCUGUCAGUCUUUGUUUUCGAUACAAAAUUCAUUGAUAGAAAAAUAUUGUUGUACCAUUCGGUUAUUAUGAACACGUUGUUUAAUUGUGUACAAAUCAUUUCAAUAUGUUGUAAUAUAGAAGUAAGGCUUAACUGAAAAAAAUAUUAUGUGGAUAGAUAAACUAAAAUAAUCUCCUUCUUAAUUAACUAUCUUAAAAAGUAAAUGAAACUGUGUAUGCACAAAUACAUAUCUUGUUAUUUUAAAUGAUGCGUUAGAGAUCCAAAUCAAUUAAUCGAAAGUAUAACAUCCAACCGUUAUAAUGUAUCCAUUAGGUAAAUUACAAAACACGUGUUCUAGUUUUCAUGGAACUAUUUCAUUCACUAAUAAACUAGUAUUUCUGUCUGGCUCUGCAUUUUCAAUGUAGUACUAUUACCGUAAGCUGGUUUCGGAAAUACGGUUGGAUUUCUAGGAAGUCGCGGCGAGUCUAGCUCCAUUAAUGUUAGUCGUAUUAUCUGUUGUUAGUCGUAUUAUCUGAUUGGAAACAAGGUCAUUUGAUGAAAUACGUCAGUGCCACGUGGUAUAUUUGGUCCUUUAGUUAUAUUAGUUAAAUAUUUAUUUAAUUAUAAUUAGUAGGGACGUGAUCUUUUUUGAUGUUGAGACAUUAAUUGUCUUGUUUGGUAGUUGUUUACGACUACAGGCAGACCUGUUUAUAACAUUUUCAUGUAAAAACUAUUGAGCAGAUUUGGAUAAGUUUAGAUGAAACGACACAGUGUUCAAUCAAAAAGACAAGAAAUAUAGGUAAAUAAAUAAGAUUUUGCAUUUAACGAACUUAUAGAAGGUUUCGUUAAGAAAAUAAUAAAAGUUGUUUGUUAGGUAAUUUUUCGUCGCCGUCUCAACGUGAGUUAGGGACGCGGGUGGUUUGCCGGUCUUGGUUCGAAUAACAAACACAUAACCUUCGAUAAUAAGACAGAUCCAGUAACAAUGACACUACGUGAUUAAGAUUCAUCUCUUAUUAUUCCUCUUUCCUUUUAUUUAUAAUUUUUUCUCCACCUACAAGACUUGGUCCGUGCAGUAACUUUAAAGUAAGGAUAAUUUCCUUACUUUUUGAUUUUUUCUUACCUGUCUCGGGAGUUAUAUUGCCUUCCCUGUUUAUCCAUUUGGUAAUUAAUGAUGUAAUUUCAUGUUGUUUCAGGUAGAAUUAUAUUACAUUUCGUAAUAUAAAUUUACCUGGAAUAUAUUAUAAAGAUUCAGUCAAAGUAUGUACUGAAAAUUGUAAUUCAAGAAAUUUUCUCGAACAAUAUUUUCUAAUUGGCUCAAAUUAUCAAAAACAUAUCAUACAUUGGCUCUGACCCCUGCCAACUGUUAAUUGGCACGUUUGAAAGUUGAUGUCAAGAAUGAUUCGAUGAUGUUUGAUAAAUGCUAAAUACCUAUGUGUUGAGUGUCUCUAAAUAAAUGACUACUAUCUAUUAUAAUAUUAUAAACAGGAAAAAUUAACGUUUCUCUGUUUUUAUUGCGUAGGCUCUACUGCAGGACCAAAUACAAAGAAUGAGACAAUAGGAGAAAAUGAAGAGGAAUCUUUUAAAAUCCACGCGGGCGAAGCCGCAGGAGGAUAUUUAAAGUACCUCAAAAGUAAUUGUUUUAUUUAAAAUUAUUAAUUAGUUUUAAAGUUGUUUAAAGCCAUUUAUUACGGAAAAUGUUCGCGUAUGUGAUGUCUUUUAAUCUAGUAUAAUUAUAUUAUGAAAAUUUUACAUAAUAUAUUUAACAGAUAAAAAAUAUUUACAGACGAAACAAAAUUUUCGAAAUGAAUCAAUGCAAUUUUGAUUAUAGACAAACAAAAUUUUUAUUGGCAGUGUGGUGAGUACAUUUAUUAAAAAUAUUUGACUAUAAUUAUAGAAAUAAAUAUUAAUAAUUGUGGUCCCAAGCAGAUUCUACAGUAAUAAAUAUUUUAUGAAAGGAAAUAUGAUUCAUAAUAAAAGUCAAUUUAACCAUAAUUUCACUCAUUUUUCAAGUUGUCUUUAGUUUUUAUGCUUUUUUAUCACAUCUCUGUCACUUCCAUCAAAUUAAAAGUAAUAAUAUAAUUGAUAUUUAUUUCCAUUUUUGUACUCACAUGCAUACAUUAUUUACUUUGGCACAGGGGACAGGUACCUAAUUGGCUUACUGGUUACUACAGUCUCCUAUUUUUUAUCUGUUUUUUUAGCUAUAAGUUCUACAUAAUUAUAUACCUUAUUAAGCGCCUGUUUCACCACCUUCAUAUAAGUAUCUGAUAAACUUAUGUGACAGAUAGUUCAUACAAAUUACGUUCUUAAUUCAAAUGUAUCUGGGACAUAGCGGCUCUCCAGAUAUUGUGAAACAGGCCCUAAGUAAAUAGGUGGAAGAUGUCAUGUACAAGUUCUGAUUUCAAAUGUUUAUUGUAAAGUUCAUAAUCAGCAAGAGCACCACAAAUAAUCAAGGUUAUAACUGGUGGCUCUUAGAUGUCUUUAGGUGAUGUUCCAACUCUAGUGAUAGUUAUGGUGCAAAUUGUAGAUUUAAACGUUAUUGUUAAAUAACUAAAUUGUUUUCUAACUAUAAUGUAUAUUUAAAUAACAAUAAAUUAUAGGUUAUGUAUUUUAAUUCCUAAAAUAGAUAACUAUUUAAUGUAGUUACUAAAUCUAAGGAAGUUAUGCUUUCAUUAAAUUUGGUGAAUAUUUAGCUUAGACAAUUUAUUAAAUAGAAUCGUGUUAGGUUAGGUUAGAUUAAGAUUAUAGUAAUUUCUGAGCGCUAAUUUCCAUGUAACCUCAAUGCGAGAACUCUUCGAAAAAAAUAUUUUUUAUUUCAUUGAUGUCAAGACCACAUUCUGUUUUUGGUUCAGAAACUCUUUUGUUAUCUUGAUAUCAUGCACUGUCUCAAUAUUCUAAGUUCUAUAUUUUUGUUCCCAUCCUUUUCUUCUAUUUUAUGACGAAAUCGAUCAAACAGGGUCGAUCAUUCCCAUUUUUUGCCUGUUUCGAGUUACAUGGAAAAAGGCGGCUUAUUCGUUUCUCUUCGCUAGACACCACGCUUAAUUAUAGUAUGUGUGCAUGACCCUGUAUGUUUUACCCAUGAAAGGUGUUGUGUGUUUGUAUGUCUGUCUACGUGUGUACAUGUACUUUUACUACUAAAGUUAUGUAACACUAGGUAUAGUUUUUCAUUUAAGUAAGAAAAAUUUUAAUAAAAAGUGUUAUUGAGUACUUUUAUUGCUUUGUUUUCAUUUUUCUUUCUUUGAAUGAGUUCUUUUAUUUUAAUCAAAAUAAUAUGCAAACCAUUACA